rnacentral:sRNA from 1 species
AGGUUCGUGUCGAACGCAGUGAGACAACGGAGCCGCUUGCGGCGACGGCCCGAAGGGCGAGCGAAGCGAGUCAUCCUGCACGACCCACCA